rnacentral:rRNA from 1 species
CGACUGCUAUUUGGGUGAGAAUAAGCCAUGCGAGUCGAAUGGGAUACCUAAAUCUCCCAUGGCAAACUGCUCAGUAACACAUGAUCAACUUACCCUAUAGAGAAAAAUAACCUCGGGAAACUGAGGAUAAUGUUUCAUAGUUGAAUAGGCUUGGAAAAGUUUUUCAAUAAAAGGGAUAAGGAAAAUGGUCCUUAUCCGCUAUAGGAUAGGAUCGUGUUCGAUUAUGGUUGUUGGUGAGGUAACGGCUCACCAAGCCGAUAAUCGAUAGGGGCCGUGAGAGCGGGAGCCCCGAGAUGGGUACUGAGACAACGACCCAGGCCUUACGAGGCGCAGCAGGCGCGAAACCUCCGCAAUACACGAAAGUGUGACGGGGUUACCCAAAGUGUUCAAUUUUGAACUGUGGUAGGUGAGUAAUGUCCCCUACUAGAAAGGAGAGGGCAAGGCUGGUGCCAGCCGCCGCGGUAAAACCAGCUCUUCAAGUGGUCGGGAUAAUUAUUGGGCUUAAAGUGUCCGUAGCCGGUUUAGUAAGUUCCUGGUAAAAUCGGGUAGCUUAACUAUCUGUAUGCUAGGAAUACUGCUAAACUAGAGGGCGGGAGAGGUCUGAGGUACUACAGGGGUAGGGGUGAAAUCUUAUAAUCCUUGUAGGACCACCAGUGGCGAAGGCGUCAGACUGGAACGUGCCUGACGGUGAGGGACGAAAGCCAGGGGAGCGAACCGGAUUAGAUACCCGGGUAGUCCUGGCCGUAAACGAUGCAUACUAGGUGAUGGCAUGGCCAUGAGCCGUGUCAGUGCCGUANGGAAACCGUUAAGUGUGCCCGCCUGGGAAGUACGGUCGCAANGGCUAAAACUUAA